AGAGUUUGAUCCUGGCUCAGGAUGAACGCUAGCGGCAGGCUUAAUACAUGCAAGUCGUGGGGCAGCACAGGUAGCAAUACUGGGUGGCGACCGGCAAACGGGUGCGGAACACGUACGCAACCUUCCUUUAACUGGAGAAUAGCCCGGGGAAACCCGGAUUAAUACUCCGUAACAUUAUGAAGUGGCAUCACUUUAUAAUUAUAGCUCCGGCGGUUGAAGAUGGGCGUGCGUCUGAUUAGGUAGUUGGCGGGGUAACGGCCCACCAAGCCUACGAUCAGUAACUGGUGUGAGAGCACGACCAGUCACACGGGCACUGAGACACGGGCCCGACUCCUACGGGAGGCAGCAGUAAGGAAUAUUGGUCAAUGGACGCAAGUCUGAACCAGCCAUGCCGCGUGGAGGAUGAAGGUCCUCUGGAUUGUAAACUUCUUUUAUUUGGGAAGAAACCACCGAUUUCUAUUGGUGUUGACGGUACCAGAUGAAUAAGCACCGGCUAACUCCGUGCCAGCAGCCGCGGUAAUACGGAGGGUGCAAGCGUUAUCCGGAUUCACUGGGUUUAAAGGGUGCGUAGGCGGGUUGGUAAGUCCGUGGUGAAAUCUCCAAGCUUAACUUGGAAACUGCCGUGGAUACUAUCAAUCUUGAAUAUAGUGGAGGUGAGCGGAAUAUGUCAUGUAGCGGUGAAAUGCUUAGAUAUGACAUAGAACACCCAUUGCGAAGGCAGCUCGCUACACUAUUAUUGACGCUGAGGCACGAAAGCGUGGGGAUCAGACAGAUUAGAUACCCUAGUAGUCC
rnacentral:rRNA from 1 species